CAAAAGGGCUUGAAUUUCUACCCCAUGAUUGAUGUCUCAGACCUCAAUCCAGAGGAGAGCGAGCUGAGCUGACUUUCCUACACUCCGACACACGACAGUGAUAUGAAGGCUCAGGGGGCCUGGCCCAGCCCUCUCCACCACGGUGUGUGGGGACAGAGCACAACAUCCAAGACCAAGUGAGUACUCCGGGGAGCUUUGGUGAAGCGAGCCCUCUUCUUACAUUCUUCUGCGUUACUGGUAAACUCCAGCAUGAGAUUCCAGUCCCAACAGAGCUCUCAAUACCAUUGACAUAGAUCGUGCACCAAGAAUUC